CCUUUAUUCUGACAGAUAAAAAUGCCCAUAUAGGUGAUGUAGUUCCAGAGAAACUCAACUUUUUAUCAUGGGAUCUGCCAAUUUUCAGAGCAGAGGCCAGUAACCUCUAGGUCCAAAGUCUCUCUUUCUGAACCAACUCUCGUCGGUGAGAAGUUAAGACUAGUUUUUCUAGUAAACUUUCUUUCCGGUUUGGCUUGGUAGAACGAUAGGAUUAAGGAUUUAGGCUCCCAGCUGGGUCUUCAACCCAACACUUUCUGAACUCUUGUUGGGGACCCAUGUUUUCACUGCUCCUGCGAGCUCCGGCCCCCCGAGUCCUCUCUCCCGGCCUAAGCAGCUCAACCAGAAAGAAAGCUUCUUCUACCCCCUUGAUCCGGAUUGCGUGUUAAAGGGCACAAACAACUCUUGCGUUCCCAAGAAACCCAAUAGUUACACAGCUUAACACAGCAAAACCUAUCAAGGCAUAGUAAGGCUAUGUCUGUGCAGAAGCUAGAUUAGUAUUUAUUUAUUUAUAUAUUUUUUGUAUCAUAGAUUUAGAUGUUUUCACAGUCCUUUGUUUCCUUCGUAAGGAGUGAAUUUGGUUUUGAUAAUCUUUCGUAGUGCCUCCAGUUUUAACGAGUGUUUUUGUGAUCUUGCCUCCGUUGAAAGAGUGCUUACCCGGUAUUUUGAUAAAGUUAAAAGCCUUUUUGUUUUCCUCCUGGAGUGGAGCGACAUUUGAUUGAUCAUUUUUAUAGCCACAUCCAUCCAUCCAUCUGCAAACUGCUUAUCCUGCACACAGGGUCGCGGGGGGCUGGAGUCCAUCCCAGCCAACUUCGGGCGAUAGACAGGGUACAUCCUGGAUUGGUUACUGGCUACACAGAGACAUACAACCAUUCACACUCACAUUCACACACCUACGGGCAAUUUAGAGUCCCCAAUCAACCUGAUCCCCAGAGCAUGUCUUUGGACUGUGAGAGGAAGCUGGAGAACCCGGAGAGAACCCACGCAGACACGGGGAGAACAUGCAGACUCCACACAGAAAGGAGGCGACAGUGCUAACCACCACACCACGUGCCGCCCCUUUUAUAGCCACACUUCUUCCUAAAUUGUUUAUUGGGAGAAGUGUGAUCUAGAUCAUUUUUAGCUCGUAUUUAUUUUCUCUGCCUUGGAGAGAUCCAGUCUUACUAAUAAAGACUACAAAUCCCUUAAAACUCUGCAACUGUGUUCUGCCGGGUCGUGACAUGUGUUUACUGGACAUUGUACUAUGCUUCCAGUCACCACCAAACUUAAACCUUCAAUUCCUUGCUCCUGAUUGAAUAGAUUGUACAUACAUGCGAUAUAUGAGACUUGAUUUAUAUAUAUAUUUAUCUCCUGCUAAUAGCAUCCUUCUUUGUAACCCUCAACCAUUAAAAACACAACAGAACCAUUGAACAAAUGCUUGGGUGUCACAGGAACAACCAGUGAGUGAGAUCAAAAUAGACCUUCAUUUCUCUUGCGUCUUUUGCAUACAGAGCAACAGGUUUGACUGAAUAUAAUAUAUGUUUUUUUGGACCAUAAAACUAGUAUGUAAAAUAAAUCCUUUAAGACAACAUGUACUCAGUGUUAUCCCAACAUAGACACUCCAACUUCUAACUGAAAGCCAAGUUAAUGAAAGUCUUUCAGGCUGCUCUGACGGCUGAAGGCUUUCAGAGAGAGAAUAGCCAGCGUCAGCCUUCACCGUUUACUGGGGGAAAGCAUUCAUUCUUUGAUUUCAUGUUUUAUAUGAAAGGUCAAUAUUGGAAUGCAACCCAAUUUCUGAUAAGGUCUAUUCAAUGCACCUUUUAUUUCCACACAAAAGUGUGAACUAAAUGUGUACAGCAGCUAUUGCAGGUCCCCUUGGGAAUCCACCAGAAAGAAGAUAUACUUGUAAUACCAACAUUAUAUCUCAAUCUAUCUUACGUUUGCUAGGCUUAUCCUACCCACCGAAAAAAAGCUUCUUGGAGUCAGGGGACUUUGAAACUUUUCCUCCCGUAGAAGAAUGUGGUUAUUAUCUUGUAUAAGUUGUGCUUAAGAUCAACAGGAUGAGCAAAUAAUCGAUCGAAUCAAACGACAGUCAUACACAAAGUACUGUAUGAGUCAUUUCUAUGCAUUCCUACGACACACCCAUUUACGGUAUGUGUUGUGUAUUGAUAUUAAGUUUAUAUCAAUUCCGUAGGAAUUAAGUUUCCUACGGGGCCGACUCAAGGUACUGAUGCACCCCAGCAUGGGCCUACACCCUCACCACUCAGACCCAGAGACAGUGGAAUUGUAGACUUACCCAUACGUCGUCAUUACCCCACAAGAGAACGACGACCCCCCCCCCGGACAGAUUGAACAUGUAGUGUAGAGACUAGCCUCCAACAUUGGGGCAGAAUACCCCCCAGGGUCAAGUCUGGGAAUGGAGGUUGUCUACCAUCUUUCCCUAGUUCAGGGGAAUGUUACUUUUGUUUAUCUGUUAAAGGUAAUUUGGUAAAGUUGUUAAAGCAGAGGAGCUGUUAUAAUAAAAAGAAAAGAUUGUUUACUUCUUUAUGGUUGGGGAGUUAAAAGUAGAGGGGGAGGAAUGUUGUGUAUUGAUAUUAAGUUUGUUCCUACGGAGCAUCCAUAUUGAAAAAGGAACCGGCACUGGAUGCUGGGUAUUGUUUGUCUCAUGCAACGUCCAUUAAAAGAACACCCGUGAUUUUCCUACAGGGUCUCAUGUCUGAUCAUUUUGUUGUAUUUGCAGAAUCAGCUACACAACAGUAUGGAUCAGUCCUGUACAUUCCAAUGGCAAGGCCAUUUAAGGUAUGAGUUAAUCCUUUAAUUGGAAUGAGAGACCCACAUAAAGUAUGGGUCAGUCAUGUACAUUCCUCUGAUUAGUAGACGACUCCUGAGCCACAGCCACAAAUGUCGACCUUUUUCUAUAAAUCAAAUCUGAACUACAUACUCUAGAAUUAGAUCAAAUCCACAGACUGACAUAAAAAUAGACAUUUUACUAAACUGGCAUACGGUAUGUGAAAGCGGGCUAAUGCAUAAUUUCAAUAAGCUCUGUAAUAUGCCCUUGUUGUUUGAGGCCAGUGAUUUCACUAAUUAUACGGCCUUCCCUGCUCAGCAUUUCCAGGCCGACUGCGAUCAAUGAAAUUAUCUGAACGCCCAACAUGGACCAGGGGGUCUAAACGCACACUGGACAGGGCUAAUGUCAGUCUGCCUCUCUGGGUAUUGAUUCUUCUACACUGUGCGUCCACUUGCUCACAAGCUGUGAUUGAGCAUUUCAAUUGAAAGCAGAGAAUGCCUCACGGCCUCCUGUUUAUAAUCAGUUUGUAUGUUGUUCGAAUUACUCAACACACGGCAUCUGCAUCCUUAGAGACUUGCCUGCCCUACAGCAUACAAGCAUGAAAUGAUGUUAUAUGUGCGUGUAAUGAGGAAGAGGAUUCCCUAUAAAAAAGUACACAGCUGCAAUGUCUUGCUCCACAUGUAUAAUAUAUAUACAUAAUUGAAUAUAUAUAUAAUUGACUAAUACGAAAUACUUUCCUAUCUCCUAGCGUCGGGCCUAACAACACCGCCGAACUGUUACAUUAUUAUCGUUAUCGUCCUGUAGAGAUUUUAAUUAAUCCACCACGGACCCACAGAUGACCAGUGUAAACAGACCAAAGCAAAAAUAUUCCCCCAGAGUACAAUAUUUAUUUGAGUUUCUUAAAAUAUCAAAAAGGUAACAAUUCAUUUCAAUAAUUCCCGUCAGCUCUGGGAAUGUCGUCAAAGAAGGUUUUAAUAAACAAAUUCAAUUCUAUUGGGGUCGUAGGCUGCAGCGGGCUAAGAAGGGGAAAAGAAAGGGGGGGAGGGGGGGUGCAAGCUCUAGGACAAGGCCCUCACUCCCUCCAGUGCCACAUCCACUUCUACGCAAAACAAUGUAAAUCAAAAACCAAAAACAUGCAACUAAGAAGAAGGGGAGGAGAAAGUAAGAGGCCCAGUCCAACCAGCCCCACCACCAUCCGGGUAGCCAUGCUGCUGCCAGCACCACGCACUCCUAAACAGAAACAAAUACAAAGUGUAUAAAUUAACUUCUGGGGGACAAAUCAUAAUUUGUUCAAGACACAGAAAAACUACCACAACGUAAUCUAACUGAAAAAAAUGAAACAAAUGAGACACAAAACAGAAACAAAACAAAACCAAGCAAAACAGCAGUGCUUCACGGCCUGGGCUGCAUUCUCUCCACCUGGGACGGCUCCCACCUGGUUUGGGCCUCCUUGAGGCACUGGGACUGGGGCAAAAACCAGAGAGUCACUAAGAGAAAAUGUAUUCUUUCUAAAACACGGGUAAAACUAAAAAAAAGUACCAGCUCAAAACAGGUUGUCAAAACCAGACUCCGACACGGGAAGAAAGCAUGCUCCCGAAGUGUCGUAAAAUGGAGCCUUUAUACGACUAAUUGGUGAACCAGGAAGUGGGAGGGGAUUAAACCUAUGGUAUCACGUGAGGGACAUUUCCUCACUGGCUACACAAGGUGCUCAAACCUCACGCAUUAACUGUGAGACACACGCAUUUCAACCAGUUCACAGGCCACAUCUGGUUGAAACCGUGUAGGAAAACCCGGAGGACAGACAAGAGAGAAAAACUGGUCAUGAAUCCAAAAAAUAAGAGACAAAGAGAAAGAAAAGACUGUUCAAUGAAAAGUGGAAGUCCGGUUGAGAAUAGAUGGUUUAUGAUCGAGCCCAAAAAAGAAUGUGUUGCACAGAUUGUAGGAGGUUUAAGAGGGUCUCUUUUGUAGUUGGGACAAGCAAUUUGACGGUGGAAACAAUAAAAGGACCAUGAAGUUUCCGUUGGCCAUGUCAAAAGGGCCGGGGCCUCCUCCAGACGUUCCCAGUUCACCCUCACUACACGCUUUUGGUUUACCGGGUCUGUCCCAAGUCUUCCCCCAUCCUCUGACCCAGCUCACCACCAGACGGUGAUCAGUUGACAGCUCUGAGCCUCUCUUGGAUGGAUGGAUGUCAAAAGCAUUGCAAGUAAACAGACAAAGACAACUAAGUAUUGCAUGUAGGUCCCUGGUCCUCAUGAAGUCGGCGGCAUAAUCACACCCUUGCAAACAAAUGCUUUGCUACUUGUUGAAAGCCAAAUCAUUUCAUGUAAUGAUUUUUACAUGUCAUUUAGCUCACACAAACACUGCUCCUGGCCCGGCCCCUCAGUCAAAUGAUCGAACCCAUUGUGGCCCGCGAGUCAAAGAGUUUGCCCAGCCCUGGGCCAGACACAACCACGAUCUAAGGAAACCUGCGAGGUUAUUAAGUUAUUAAUGUGCAUUAAUGUUGACAAUUAUAGUAAUGGGAAUGGAAAUGGUGUUAGAAGCGACAGAAGAGAGGCGCAUGGUGUGUUCUAAGAAAUCCCCAAAGCAGUCUAGGCCUAUGGCAGCCUAUCUAAGGGCUGGGCCAGACUAACCUGAGCCAGCCCUGACUGUAAGCCUUUUCAGAGAGGAAAGUCUUAGGUUUUGUGAACCUGAAAGUGGAAGCUGGUUCCACAAAAGAGAAGCUUGAUAACUGAAGGCUCUGGCUCCUCGACACAGCUCUCUAGUAGGGAAAUAUGAUAUUAGAAGCUCCUUAAGAUAAGACGGCUCUUGGCCAGCAAACACCUUGUAGGUGAGGAAGUACCUUGAAUUCUAUUCUUGAUAAAACCGGUAGAGUGCAGAGAAACUAAUACAGAACUAGUAUGACCUCAAGAUGAAUUGGACGUUUGCGCACAAACAUCUUGACAAUCAUCUGACUCAGAACCCGAUGUGCCUCUGUGUGAGACAUCACAGACUUUCUGUUGUCUAAGUAAUCUUGACUACGGUGAAACAUUAUUUUUUCCCAACAUUUGGAAACUUUCAAAUUAAGUACAAUAGAUCUGGAAAAUUCACCAUUCUAUCAUUUUGAUGCAGAAGUUAAUUCACUGUCUACAUUUAAAAUAGGUUUUUCGCACUAUUGUCCUAUUUGCACAGGACUAGUUUUACCAAAGGGGCUUGAGAUUUAGAAAUGCAAAUCAGAUGAGAUGUCUUUUUACUUUUUUUUACUAGUUUACUUUUGUAACUCUUGAAAAACCUCUUUCCCAUGGCUAGGUGUGUCUCUGUGCUGUGUAGCAAGAUGAGCUUCUUGAAUUUGCCCAUACAAUUCACAGACAUGGCAUAUUGCAUUUACAAGCAUUACAAAUAAUAGUCCUGUGCAAAUAGGGCUUCAUAUGCAUAUGAAGAAUUAGAGUGAGGGGUUUGAAAGUGUUUGCUAAUGGCGGGGAAGGUUUAUUGCAAAGAUGCAAUUAAAUGCAUUAUAGGGGAGGUACAAUCCAGUGUUCUCGAAGCUAGUAAGUAAGUAAGUCUCACAACGCUACAUUUCGGAGUGAUGUGGUAUCAAACAGCAAUUCAGCUCUACACACUGCAAUAUAGAAUAUUAUUAACACAUUUCUAACUUUCUUUCUUUUCUAAGAAAGUAAUAUGGGAGUUUUUUAAUUGUAUUGGUCGGUAUUGUAACAAGAGUGGAUUUUCCAUUGCAUCAUCUAUGCCAGUGUUAUAAUAAUAUUUUUCAAGAUAACAAAUACUGUGUGUUGUUCUUUAAGACCAUGUAGGAAGUGAAAAUACCUCUAAGCCCAUGUCUUGCUUGACUUUAGUUAUUGAUUCGAUUUGUAUAAACUGCUUUAGUGGAAUGUAACGCCAUGGAACAAGGCAAAAUGAGUCAAUAUUUAAUCAGUCCGAAAAAAACACUGUAUGAAGACGCCAUUUUCACAUCUU
ensembl:lncRNA